GAAUAAGCCGUCACCCUGCUUUCUCAGCACACAUUUUACGAAGAAUUGUGCGCGGUUUAUUAAUACGGUACAUUCAAACAACGAACCACACUCCAAAAGUAAUAGGUUUGUUUGACUCGAGGUCUCUUUUUGACCUGUUAACUCUCAGGGCGCCCUUUUCCGGAAGCAGUAUGGCGGAUGGUCGUUUUACUCGCGGGGGCAAGUUGCUCUCAGGUCACUCAGGUCAUGCUCUCGAUGCUCCUCCUCUCGAGGAAGAGUUGCGAGGGUAAGUCGUCUGCUAGUUGUUUUGGCGCGACUUUGACGAUGGAGUCAAUAUGUUAUCAGGCUACAUUUGGUGAUGACGGCAAUAUUUUAAUAGAUGACGAAGGUUUUGUAUUGUUCAAACCAACAGAUUCCUCAUAUGCUUCAGUUAGAAUCAAAGUGACUGAACUUGAACUGCAGAAAGGUGUUACUGUCGUCAAGACACCAGAUCAUAAAACUUUAAAGUUGUUUACAUCCAGAAUUGCAAAUUUGGAAGUGCAACAAAAACAGCAUGUUACACAUUUGGAAGAAUGUAACACACCUGCUGCUGAUGAAGUUGGUCCUGAAUUUUAUUGGACAGAUGAAACGAUGAAACUUUUCUUGGAGCAGUUUGCUUUGAAAAAGACAUUGUUAGACAAACGUCAUUUUAAAACGCAAAAAGGGAUGUUUGCAGCCAUUGCAACCAGUAUGCAAACAUAUGGUUAUAAAGUUACUGGUAACCAGAUUGAAAAUAAAUACAAACUCCUGGCCAAAACCAUAAAAAAUUACACCCUAAGAAACCAUAAAAAAAUAGCACUGGGAAGGGUAGGAAGGCACUACCUUAUGAGCGGGAGAUGAUGGAAAUGUUUGGCAGGCAGCACUCCAUCGUACUUGCAUGUGUGUCAGGGGCCAGUGGCACAAAAAAUAGAGCUGACCUGUUACUGGAAGCAGGCAUUGUGCUGCCUCAAGAAACAGAUUUAAGGAGUAAUCAAAGCAGUUCUACGGAGGAUUGUGCAAGUGCCAGCCCUAUAGUGAGUGUUAGUGGAGCACUGGGCUCUCCAGCACUAUCGUCCUAUGCAGGAUCCAUUAGCUCUCCAGUCCCAGUGGGAAUGCCUGUUUUAAGUUCAACUCCACCUGUUGAAAGCAAUGUGCGGAGCCAAAACAGCUCAAUACGCAAAAGGUAUGGUAGGAGAGAUGGGGCAACUGCUGUUGCGUUGAAUGCCCUCAAAGAGACAAUUUUGCUACAAACAACAGCAAUACAAGAAGAAAAAUCAAGGAGAAUGGAUGCUCAUGCAGAGAUGGUAACUCUGUAUAAGCAAAAUGUCAUUGAAAUUAAACGUUCUAAUGACAUUAGGGAGGAAAGGAACAGGCUUUUAGCUCAACAAGUGGAGUUACUUCGCCAACUAAUCCCAUCAACUAGCAACAGCAGCAUGAGUGACAGUUCUGCAGAUAAGUAGAGAUUUCGACAAACUGUGUGUAUGUAUGUUAUUGGAUUAAAAAAAAAUUAUACCCUCAUGAAACUUAAGAAAUGGUUGUAAAUAUAUCCCAUUAUUAGCUUCACUUGUAGCACUACCGUGGUUGGACCUCGAACUAAUUUCAAAAUGGCAGCCAUGGCGGGUUUUUCAAAACUCCUUGUGCUCUAUAUUUAUAUAACCUAUUUUGCAUGUGCCAUUAAAAAUGUUAUCAUUGUAUUAUUCUGUGCACUAAAAAAACAAUUCAAAUUUUCAAAUGCUAUCUAAUCAAUUAUGUAAAGAAAAGCUAUCCAUAAAUUUCAGCUUAAUAUCAAACCUAAAAUGAAAAAAAAAAAUUAAAAUGUAAUUUUCCUUACCUUUGUAACUAGAAAAUCUAAAUAAAUACAAGUAACACAAGAAAUUCAACUCAGGAAUGAUGGUAAAAUGGUGCUUGUGGUGAAGAUAAGGUACUUAAUGGAAAUAACACAGUGCAUAUAAUCUUUUAAUUAGAACACAAUAGCAUCAGUACAUGAAACUUAGUAGUUAAGAUACACACAAUUCACUCACAACUAGUAGAUAAGAACACUACUUGUAGCAGAACAGCUUGAAACAGUUAAACUUGUACCAAGGAGCAUAGGUAUAAGUAAACAGAGAUUUGAUCCUAGGUUAAACAUAAGUCAUUUUUUUUUUCCUUUUGAAAUCAGACAACAAUUCUGAUACUAGCAACUACACAGCAUUGACUAAAGAAAUUUAGUUUUGUCCUGAACAACAGGAUCUAGGUCCCUUUACAGAAUUCCUCAAUUUAGGAACUAGGGGCACUUCGUACAUUUGUGUCUUAAUAAAAUUGUCUCUAAUAUAUAUUAAUGACACAAAAAUAAAGCAGUUUCUUAAGACUUUUUUAGAAUAAAGUUGGUGUUCAUUGAUAGUGUUAAUCUAAGAAUGAUAUGUUAACCUAGUUAUUUCACAAUACAUAACCAUAUUUGACUCCUUAAAUCAUGAUUUAAAUACAUGCCCAUCUAAUGCAAUGCACACAAAUUUUAUUUAAACAGCAAAUACGCAAUUAUGAAUGUACAAUUCAUGAGUGCCUUCAAAUAAUCAAUGGUACAUUUUAACACACACAGGUACAUAAAAAUUACAUAACACAGUAUUCCAACAUAAACAAUUAUCUAAGUCUCCAGAUACCUUUAUAUUUGAGCCUAUAUACAUGAUUUAAUAGUUAGGCUAUAUAAUUCUACUUUUUAAUAAAUCAGACAGGCAUGUAUGCAUGUGCAAAACACAACAAUCUUUUGACAAAAACAAUUUACAAAAAAAAACCUCUCUGGAGCACCCCUAGGGUGAAUUCAUAAAACGAAAACCAAACCCUAGGGUACCUACUCAAGGAAUAUUUCCUCCUAAUUUAAAAUAUUUAGUUGCGCCGGUUUAGGCUGUGCGUUGUCUGUCACUCAGUAUUAGAGUUUUAAUAAGUAUAUGUUUUAAAAUUUUGGGUACACACGUUAUGGAGUGAUGGAACGCGAUUAUACAAGCACGAGAAGUCAAAACUCAACCGGUGAAGUUUUAAAGGGCGCUUUCCAGCAAAACGAUAUGAACGGGCGAAACAGCGAUCUUUUCCAUUGCGGUGUGGAUCUCUAACAAGAUGGACGCGUGCACGAAUCAAGAGAAUAACUACGUGCAUUGCAUGUACAUACUUGCAGACAUCAACACUAUUAUGCCAAGGACGUUUUACCAGAUGCCUGUAGAGCCUGCUUCAGUUUGUGUUGCCGCAAGAUUUGGCAGUUCUUAUGUGGGGUUUGUGUAGUUGGAAGUUGUUGAACAAAAUAUUUUUCUUCAAUUCAAUAGUGUCCUUUUAUUCUGUAUCAUCAAGUUCUGUCUAGCGCUUCAACAGUUGAAUUUUGAGUAGGUAUACAGCGUACACUGAAUUUUUUUUUUGUAAAUGGAACAGAAAUAUUUACGAAAAAUUACAGAUAUUUGUAAAUCUGAAUAUUUAUAUGAAAACAACUGUACCACUACAAAAUAUGUUCUCAGUGAUACUAAUUUCAGAUUAAUACUCGAGCAUUAAUGCUUUGUGUUGUCCCAAUAGGUCCUUCUAAUAAUCAAAUUUAUGUGUAAACCGUUCUCUAAAUAGCUUACCAGUAUUAACUGCGCACAUUAAUAAGCAUAUUAAAUAUUUGAUUAUCAUUUCCAUGGUUUAGAAAACAUAAAGCUAGAAUGAAACAUAAAUUAAAAAUAGAAUUAUGGACCAAUUUUCUUACAACUUACUCAGUAUUAUCUCGAGAAACGUAUUUCAUAUAGGUAUGGAAAAAUAACCAGAGCCACGUGUUGUAAAACGUUACAAUACAUUUCUUGUAGUAUUACAAACUAUUUCUUGGCAACUGGUUUCUAAACAAAUCUUUUGUAGUAAACGUAUUGAAUUUUUUUCUGUGUACGGUGAUUCGUGCAUGAAGUUGUGUUCUACCUCUCACUAAAGUAUGUGCCAUGAAUAUUUUAUAAGAUUUUUACUAAUAUUCCAUAUGACUAUGCUACUAAUAUUCCAUAUGACUAUGCUUAACAACUUUUUAUGUUGAAGUUACACUGCGCAUUAUUUAUUUACACUGAAACAUCAAAUAAUAAUAGGAAAAUAUGGUGAAAUUAAUUUGUAUAUUUGUGACUCAAACUCACAAAUUUUUUUCAAAUUUAGUAUGAUAUUGGAUAACCCGUUAGCUCAGACAUUCCUUUGAACAAUUAUGCGAUGCAAAACUGUAACAUAGCGUGCUAUCCAGUGCUUUCAUCUAGAGUGAGGGGAGAUCGGAAAGGAAUUUAAAAUGUGGUAUUUACGAGCAAAGAGUUGGGUCAACAAAUAAUCUCGACCCUUUGUUAUUGAAAUAAUCAGCAGGAUUAGACUGAUUAUAAAGGAUCAGAUUCAACUGUUUCGUAAAAAAAUUGAUUGUCUGUAAAGUCGGUUUACAGACGAUAGUUUAACGUGACGUCAUAACAAAACAUUGAUGAAGUGAUUGAUCCAGAAGAAAAGGAAAUAUAUUCGGCCUGAGACUGAGCCAACCAAACCAUUUAGGCAAUAAAAAUAUUAUAUUCUUUGAGGAAGAAAUAUUUUUUUAAUUUUUAUAUCUUUUGUAUGAUAAAAUCUACCUCUGCAUACUUUUAUAAAUGAAAUUGAAUUAUCACUAUUUUGUAUGGAUACAAAGGAGUGAAAUGAAAUGUACAAUUUAAUUAAUAAAUUUACUUUUAUUUGCAUUCAUUAAUUCAAAUAUAUUUAUUACUUUUGAAAUGUUGCGUGCGCCGUAUUUAUUUUUACAAGUACAAAAAAAACUCGCAGUUGCCGAGAUCCGAACCGAUAAUCUUUGGAAUGGAAGUCAUCUAUGCUAACCGCACGGCCACGAGACCAUAUUGAGAUUGUUUCAGAUGGUAUAAAUUAAUAAUAUUCCACGCACAAUAUUUGUUUAAAUUUCUUUUAACUAGCAUAUUCUCUGUUGGACUCGAAAUAUUUACACGCUCGUGGGCUCAUAACUAUUAUACAGUGUAUGAUUUAGUUGAUCAAAUAAUAACUGAUGACAAAUAAUUACCAAUGUCAAACUAAAGCGUGAAAAGUAUCAUACUAGCAAUAAAUAAUUUAGUUACACAGCUAAAACAAUACUCAUACAACACUGUUUAAAUAUACUGAUUUACACUAGUAAUUGUAAGUACUUGUAAGAACGCCAUUUCCUUGCGAAUAUACUCCCGUGGCGCGGUGCACAACAAUAACCUCGAACCAGUACGCCGCCACGUGCCGGCCGAGUUCUCUGUACCGUCCGCAACAUACCAGAGAGAUGCCACGCAUGCGUAAACACAUCCGUAGUGGGACAAUUUUUUGUGCGUGCAGCCAGCGUUCAUCGAUUUAUUAGACGCUGUCACGUCAAAAAAAAAACCUCCAACAUGAUAGCGAUGUGUUGUUCAUGAAUGAUGUGUUUAAAAUGAAUGAAUCUUAGAGCAAAUGUAAUCAUAUGAUCCUAUCCCUGAUGUAAAUAAUCAGUUUGGGAUUCAUUACUCAGAAUGAAACAUAAGAGCGAAAACGUAGAGAGAACGAGUGACCCGGCCACGCAUCCAGUGUGAUUCAUUCGUGGAAUGAAGCAAUUUUUAAGUAAUCACUAGCACUAAUGUCUACUUUGUCAUAAAUCUAUCUCAUUAAUACAAGUGACCACCAUUAAUAUUAUAUACAAAAAGGAUGAAAAACAGCAUACCAAUAGAAAAAUAUAACUUGUAUUGAGCAGUCAGAUUUUCUUACUAAACUUAAAUUAAUAACAAUAACUUGUUUCACCAUCAAAAACAAUACUGUACGUAUUGGCAAUAUUAUAUAAUGAAUAGUGAUAAAACUGAAAUAACAGCAAAAUUGAGGUCAAUAUACCAAAAUGAAUAGAAAAAAACAAAAUUCACCACAACUAUCUCAUUUUUCCUGUUAAAUGCUGAAUUGAUGUCAUGAAUCUUUGAUUUAAAGUAUUAUUAAAAACAUAAAUACUCUGUACUAAGGAAAAAAAUUUACUGAGUUCCUACAUAAUUUUUUUUUAAGUCAAGUUAAUUUAAAGCAGUCAAUAGCUGAUACCAACAGACAUGGCUGAAAACCUACAGAGAAACAUGUGGUUUUGGGUAUACAACAUUGCAUUCUUUUAUUUGUAUGUAUAGUACUGAAAUAAUAAGACAGUGUCAAAAAGUAAAAUUCAAAUUUGAAAAUAUCCUCUUGAGAACUAAAAAACAUUAUAGAAGAAUAUUGACUACUUUCAUUGCAGUUUUUUAGUUUAAGUUACUUUUAUCAAUAUAUUAUGCAGUAUUAUUUUACAUGAACAAUUUAAGGAUCUUACCAGAAAUUUUUGUAGUAGUUUAUGAAUAGUAUUGUGCUAAACAUGUUAUUAUUAUUACAUAUGUUUAAUCUUUAAAGAUGUUAAAGACAUAAUUCAUUUUUAAUGACAAAAUUUGCAUUUUUAUGAAACGAUACAAUUUUAGCUCUACGUAUAAGUAUCACACCAUUGAGAACAAAAGUUUUGUUAGACAUCACAGCACAUCUGAGAUUACAUAUAAAUUACACCUUAAACUUCAUACUAAAAUUUAAAAGCCACUAUAUACAAGUUAUGACAUUAUUUUAAUUAGUGCUUAAGAUACAUUAAUCAUAAUUGAAUAACCUAAUUGUCAAAUUGCAUGUUAUUUAAAUUUUUUUUAGUUAUUUCUUCACUAAAAAUUCAAAAAUAAAUUAUAGUUUAAAAAACUCUAUUAAAAAAAAAAACUUUUGUAGCUAACCCAACUGAAAAGUAGAAAACAAUUUUAAAUUAAAAUUAAGUUAUAAACCAAAUUUUCAAUUUGAUUUAAAAAAAAAACUGGGUCAUUUUUACUACUAACUAAUAAUAAUAGUAAUAACUCUUACAAACUGCUACCAAUGAAUUAUUUGUAACAUUUAAUGUCAAGCACACCAUGCUUUUUUUUUUAAAUAGAAUUAAUCAUUUGAUUGAUAACUUAAAUUUUAUUUUAAAUUUAUUUCCUGCCUUUUAGUUGGGUUAGCUAUAAAAGCGUGUUUUUUUUGUUAACUAUAAUUUGUUUUAAUACCUGUACCUACAGUAGUGUACUUCACAUCUAGAUAUUUAUACAAA